UUGGAAGGAGUCGUCCUAGGCCGGGGUCUGGGCCCAACUGACACCCAAGUGUGGCUGGCAGAUGGCAGCACCGGACCUGCGGGCGGAGCUGGACUCGCUAUUUCUGCAGCUUCUCGGGGACCUGGAGGAGCUGGAGGCGAAACGGGCGGCACUGAACGCCCGAGUGGAGGAGGGAUGGCUCUCGCUCGCCAAGGCCCGCUACGCCAUGGGUGCCAAGUCGGUAGGGCCCCUGCAGUAUGCCUCCCACAUGGAGCCCCAGGUCUGCGUGCGCGCCAGCGAGGCCCAGGACGGAAUCCAGACGUUCAGGGUUGUCAGAGCUGAUGCCCAGACCCCAGAGGAGGUGGGGCCCCGCGAGGCAGCUCUACGCAGGCGUAAAGGCCCCAUGAAGACCCCAGAGCCAGAGUCCUCUGCAGUCCCACAGGACCCCCUGCACUGGUUUGGAAUCCUGGUUCCUCAUAGUCUACGGCAGGCCCAAGCCAGCUUCCGAGAUGGUGAGCGAACUCUGCCAGUUGACCAUGUAACCUUGGGCUAAAUUCCAGCCCUCCACCUGUGAAGAGCACUUAAGCACUUACACCACAUUAGGGUUUUGCAAGUUUUCUCCAUUUAACCUUUUGUUGCAUACCUUGUUUUUUUCCAAAAGCAUAUACUGGCUUUUGACAGCAUUCUACCUUCAUGCUAGCUGUCAGGGAUACAGCAGAAAACAUACAUUCCCUUCGUGGAAUGUUUAUUUUCUGGAGAAAACGGACUGGAAGGCAGAGGGAGGAAUUGGAUGCCGGGAGCAGUUAGGUGUGAGAUGCAAGUAGAAGAAGUGGAGGUGAGGUAAACAGUGGGAACUUGCAUAUGUUUUGGAAGUGGAAGCCCUAGCAUUUGCUAACAGCUUGAAUGCAGGGUUAAGGGAAGAAGGAGUCCAGGGAAGCCCAUGUGUCCAUGGAACUCCAUCUUGGGAGGAUGGAGCUGCCCUCACUUGGAAUGGACAGGCUGCAGGGGAGCAGCUAAGGAGAAGUUGGAAGGAUUAAAGCUGAGAUGAGACCAGCAGAGGUCCUGUGGGAAUGGACAGGAGGUGCUGGAGAGGAGACUGAGGAACAGCACUCACAGGUUGGGGGUGUUCCAGAAACCAGGGAAGAAAGUGUUUCCUAUAGGGAGUAAUGAGAUACGUGAUUAGUCCAGCUGUGGCGUGGGAGGCUGAAGACUGAGGACUGUGUGAUGUGGAGGAAUGGAUGGCAGAGUAUUGGAAAAAGUCACCUAGAGAUGGAUCCAGAAUGUGGAUCACUCUUAGGAGCAAAGGUAAAAGGUAGAGGGGGAGCAGGUAAAAACAGUAAAAGUGAAAAGGAGGGUAAUGAUGGAAGGAGGAAGGAAAUGAGGCCAUGAGAUGGUGUUAUGAUCUAUGAUCCCUCAUGGGUGAUAAAGGUAGUCAAGGAAAUCUGAGGAGGCAAAGACCUGAAGAAGGUGUGGGUGCAGUCAAUGCAUGGCCAUCCCUGGAACAUUUUAGGAAGAGUAUGGAGGUCAGAGAGGUCUAGCGCCCCUGGAAACUUCUUAAGGGGUCCAUGGCCUCCUGGGUGAUGUGUCACAACAUAAUACCAUGGUGACAUUCUCUGUCUUUGCCCCAGGCCUGCAGCUGGCAGCAGAUAUAGCCAGCCUCCAGACCCGCAUUGACCAGGGUCGAAGCCAGCUCCGGGGACUCCAGGAAAAACUUAAGCGGCUUGAGCAUGGGGCUGUGUG